UGCCAGCAGCCGCGGUAAUACGGAGGGUGCAAGCGUUGUCCGGAUUUACUGGGUUUAAAGGGUACGUAGGCGGUAGACUAAGUCAGUGGUGAAAUGUAUCGGCUCAACCGAUAAAGUGCCAUUGAUACUGGUUUACUAGAGUGUUGUAUAGGUUGGCGGAAUUGAUGGUGUAGCGGUGAAAUGCAUAGAUACCAUCAAGAACACCGAUUGCGAAGGCAGCUAACUGGGCAACAACUGACGCUGAGGUACGAAAGCGUGGGGAGCGAACAGGAUUAGAUA
rnacentral:rRNA from 1 species